UGGCACAACAGAUUGUGAUUAGCCUACACCAAGAUGCACCAAUACUGCUAGACUAAUCACUGACCAUAAUCAGUAGGAAUUCCGGACCAAAUUGAAUUGAAGGUGCAUAAUUGGGUGCAAUGCUUUAAUUGACAUUGCUCUAGCAAUCCCACAGAGACAGCAUUGGUGCAUCGUGGUGUAGGCUAAUCACAAUCUGUUUUAUAC
rnacentral:pre_miRNA from 1 species